rnacentral:rRNA from 1 species
AGGGAUUGCCUUAGUAACGGCGAGUGAAGCGGCAACAGCUCAAAUUUGAAAGCUGGCCCUUUCAGGGUCCGCGUUGUAAUUUGUAGAGGAUGAUUCGGCGAGGGCUCCCGCCUAAGUCCCCUGGAACGGGGCGUCAUAGAGGGUGAGAAUCCCGUAUGCGGUGGGCUGCCUUAGCCAUGUGAAUCUCCUUCGACGAGUCGAGUUGUUUGGGAAUGCAGCUCUAAAUGGGAGGUAAAUUUCUUCUAAAGCUAAAUACCGGCCAGAGACCGAUAGCGCACAAGUAGAGUGAUCGAAAGAUGAAAAGCACUUUGGAAAGAGAGUUAAAAAGUACGUGAAAUUGUUGAAAGGGAAGCGCUUGCAACCAGACUUGUCCGCAGUUGCUCAGCCGGUCUCCUGACCGGCGUACUCUUCUGCGGCCAGGCCAGCAUCAGUUCGGGCGGUCGGAUAAAGACCUCGGGAAUGUAGCUCCUCUCGGGGAGUGUUAUAGCCCGGGGUGGAAUGCGGCCAGCCUGGACUGAGGAUCUCGCUUCGGCAAGGAUGCUGGCGUAAUGGUUGUAAGCGGCCCGUCUUGAAACACGGACCAAGGAGUCUAACAUCUAUGCGAGUGUUUGGGUGUCAAACCCAUACGCGUAAUGAAAGUGAACGGAGGUGGGAACCCGCAAGGGUGCACCAUCGGCCGAUCCUGAUGUCUUCGGAUGGAUUUGAGCAAGAGCAUAGCUGUUGGGACCCGAAAGAUGGUGAACUAUGCCUGAAUAGGGUGAAGCCAGAGGAAACUCUGGUGGAGGCUCGCAGCGGUUCUGACGUGCAAAUCGAUCGUCAAAUUUGGGUAUAGGGGCGAAAGACU